rnacentral:rRNA from 1 species
CAGUAGCCGCGGUAAUACGAAGGGGGCUAGCGUUGUUCGGAUUUACUGGGCGUAAAGCGCACGUAGGCGGAUCGAUCAGUCAGGGGUGAAAUCCCAGAGCUCAACUCUGGAACUGCCUUUGAUACUGUCGAUCUGGAGUAUGGAAGAGGUGAGUGGAAUUCCGAGUGUAGAGGUGAAAUUCGUAGAUAUUCGGAGGAACACCAGUGGCGAAGGCGGCUCACUGGUCCAUUACUGACGCCGAGGUGCGAAAGCGCGGGGAGCAAACAGGAUUAGAUACCCCAGUAGUCCCUGUCUCUUAUAC